CUUGCGACCAUAUCACGUUGAAACAUCGGUUCUCAUAAGAUCACCGAAGUUAAGCAACGUCAACAUAGAACCGUAUCUAGAUGGGCGACCGCUUGGGAAUACUAGGUGUU